rnacentral:rRNA from 1 species
ACGCUCGACACCUACGGGAGCAGCAGUGAGGAAUAUUGGUCAAUGGGCGCAGGCCUGAACCAGCCAAGUAGCGUGAAGGAUGACUGCCCUAUGGGUUGUAAACUUCUUUUAUAUGGGAAUAAAGUUUUCCACGUGUGGAAUUUUGUAUGUACCAUAUGAAUAAGGAUCGGCUAACUCCGUGCCAGUAGCCGCGGUAAGUCUGAGCGGGCGUGGCGAAGGACG